rnacentral:rRNA from 1 species
UAGGGAAUCUUCCGCAAUGGACGAAAGUCUGACGGAGCAACGCCGCGUGAGUGAAGAAGGAUUUCGGUUCGUAAAACUCUGUUGUUAGGGAAGAAAAAAUGUAUAGUAACUAUAUACAAAAGAGACGGUACCUAACCAGAAAGCCACGGCUAACUACGUGCCAGCAGCCGCGGUAAUACGUAGGUGGCAAGCGUUGUCCGGAAUUAUUGGGCGUAAAGCGCGCGCAGGUGGUUUAGAAAGUCUGAUGUGAAAGCCCACGGCUCAACCGUGGAUGGUCAUUGGAAACUAAUAAACUUGAGUGCAGGAGAGAUAAGUUGAAUUCCUAGUGUAGCGGUGAAAUGCGUAGAGAUUAGGAGGAACACCGGUGGCGAAAGCGACUUUUUGGCCUGCAACUGACACUGAGGCGCGAAAGCGUGGGGAGCAAACAGG